GUGUGCAUGUUAUAAUAUUUAUUGAGCAAGUUGGAUAGAUGGUGGCUAAUCUCUUAAUAAAGGGGUGAUGCCUAUGGUUAUAGUUGUUACUCCUAGAAAGGACUAGCAUGUCUGAUUUUGAAAUGCUUAUGGUUGUAUUAACAAUCAUUGGUUUAGUAUUGAUUAGUACUCAAGACCAUAA
rfam:Staphylococcus aureus subsp. aureus NCTC 8325, complete genome.